AUUGAACGCUGGCGGCAGGCCUAACACAUGCAAGUCGAACGCGUGGCGGACGGGUGAGUAAUGUCUGGGGAACUGCCCGAUGGAGGGGGGUAACUACUGGAGACGGUAGAUAAUAACGCAUAUCAUCGGAGGUGUCCAGAUGGGAUUAGCUAGUAGGUGGGGUAACGGUUCACCUAGGCGACGAGCCCUAGCUGGUCUGAGAGGAUGACCAGCCACACUGGAACUGAGACACGGUCCAGACGCCUACGUGAGGCAGCAGUGGGGAAUAUUGCACAAUGGGCGCAAGCCUGAUGCAGCCAUGCCGCGUGUAUGAAGAAGGCCUUCGGGUUGUAAAGUACUUUCAGCGGGGAGGCGUUACUCGCAGAAGAAGCACCGGCUAACUCCGUGCCAGCAGCCGCGGUAAUAC
rnacentral:rRNA from 1 species